AGUUUCCGGCUGCGCCAUUGCUGUGUGGGUCUUGGGACCUCGAGUUGGAGGACGCGGGAGGGUGGGGGCGGGGGCAGGGCAGCGCUGAGAUUUCCGGGGAGCGGCAGGUGAGGCCGCGCGGGGCGGGUGACGGCACCCGGGCGGGCUCCUUUCCAGGCUGGAGCCCGAGACUGCCACGUCCUGCGGGGACCAAGUGGUGGGCGAGGAGGCGUGGAGCGGCUUCAGGACUCGAGGAGCGGUUCCGAAGCAGCUAGGGACUUUUGCCUUUGCCCCCCGAGGUCGAUCGGAAGACAACCCCCAUCCCCUGCUGUAGCGGGACAGUUGGAGGGUCAUGGGUGGGUGAAGUGUUUGGCUGAGGGAAACUCAGACCAAAGAGCAGCGGCAAGAAAGCAGUUGGGUCCCCACAAAACGCCCGAAGUCAAGGUGAGGGUCACACAACGACUCUUGACGAUUCCGGCGAGUUCAUCCUGGUGCACAUCCCACUCCAUGCCUCUCUCUUCUGGUUGGACAAUAGUUACAUCCUUACGAAAAGGAGGCAAGCUACUGGGCCUUGGUGGAUCCACUCAACCUUGUUACCAAGGGACAUGCCGCCAUGCUAUGUGAAAAGGGGGGUUUUGUUGUUUGUUUUUAAUUUAAGUAUCUAAUUCGUUUCACGAAAGAAUGAUCAAUACCGGCCCAGAGUAAACUUGAUAAGUAAUUAAACUGUCAGGGCAUAGAGUUCCCAUAGAGGUGCUUGUUCUUUCAAUACACAAAUAAAGGGAUGCAAAAGUCAACAUGCAGAAAGGGUGAGUUAAUAUUGUCUUCUAAUCUACAGGAACUGAAAGAUUAGCUAAUCUGGUUUGGUUGGUGACCAAAUUUUGUGAUUGCUUGCACUGUUUGACUACCUCUGACAAAUGUUGCAAGACCUCUUCACUGAUUCUCCAAAGACUAUAGAAUGUUCUCUUUCAGGAGCAAGCUGCGA
rnacentral:lncRNA from 1 species